UGUCCAGUAUAGAACCUGAGUAGGACCUGCUUAGAUAUCUGGGGUGCUACCACGGGGGGGACCCCAUUGAGUAAGAUGGAAUGUGCGAGAACAUAUGUCUCAAUUGCAUUUAGGCAGGCUGACUGAAUUUCCUACAGCUUCGUGAGCUACAGACCCGAAGCCCCAAAUCAGGUCUCUCUCCUGGCACCCAGGCACCUUUUCCUGUCUGACCAUACUUGGAUCUGGUGGCUUUCAGCCCCUCACCUCUCCCUUACUUGGCCUGGAUCCUGUUUGGAGUCUUGUUUUCCAGUCGAAACCGAACUCUUGCACCUGUCCAGGAGUGUCAGCACUGUCUACAGAUCUCGUACAAGUACGGGGCCUGGCCAGGAGAGGUGGCUGUGGACAAGGAGGUCUUUUCACUCAGACUUAUCCUUGCAGUCCUCAGGGUACUUCAAAUAAUUUCCCUCUUGUUUUAUUUAUUUUGGUGACAGAUAAAAUCUUAUUGCAACCCA